rnacentral:rRNA from 1 species
UACGAAGGGGGCUAGCGUUGCUCGGAAUUACUGGGCGUAAAGCGCACGUAGGCGGCUUGUUAAGUCGGGGGUGAAAUCCUGGAGCUCAACUCCAGAACUGCCUUCGAUACUGGCGAGCUCGAGUUCGGGAGAGGUGAGUGGAACUGCGAGUGUAGAGGUGAAAUUCGUAGAUAUUCGCAAGAACACCAGUGGCGAAGGCGGCUCACUGGGCCCGAUACUGACGCUGAGGUGCGAAAGCGUGGGGAGCAAACAGG